rnacentral:rRNA from 1 species
ACUCCUGCGGGAGGCAGCAGUGGGGAAUUUUGGACAAUGGGCGAAAGCCUGAUCCAGCCAUGCCGCGUGCAGGAUGAAGGCCUUCGGGUUGUAAACUGCUUUUGUACGGAACGAAACGGCCUUUUCUAAUAAAGAGGGCUAAUGACGGUACCGUAAGAAUAAGCACCGGCUAACUACGUGCCAGCAGCCGCGGUAAUACGUAGGGUGCAAGCGUUAAUCGGAAUUACUGGGCGUAAAGCGUGCGCAGGCGGUUAUAUAAGACAGUUGUGAAAUCCCCGGGCUCAACCUGGGAACUGCAUCUGUGACUGCAUAGCUAGAGUACGGUAGAGGGGGAUGGAAUUCCGCGUGUAGCAGUGAAAUGCGUAGAUAUGCGGAGGAACACCGAUGGCGAAGGCAAUCCCCUGGACCUGUACUGACGCUCAUGCACGAAAGCGUGGGGAGCAAACAGGAUUAGAUACCCUAGUAGUCCCA